GCGAGCAGCAGCAUGAGCACAGCAGGGAAAGUCAUAACGUGCAAAGCCGCGGUGCUGUGGGAGCUGAACAAGCCCUUCUCCAUCGAGGAGGUGGAGGUCGCGCCCCCCAAGGCCCAUGAAGUCCGCAUCAAGAUGGUGGCCACCGGCAUCUGCCGCUCGGACGAGCACGCGGUGAGCGGGUCCUUCCUCACCCCGCUCCCGG